GACGAACGCUGGCGGCGUGCCUAAUACAUGCAAGUCGAACGCAGUGGGGACGGGUGAGUAACACGUGGGUAACCUCCCAUCAGAGGGGAUAACACUUGGCAACAGGUGCUAACCCGCUACUGAUGGAUGUACUCGCGGUGGAUUAGCUAGUUGUGGAGGUAACGGCUCACCAAGGCCACGAUGCAUAGCCGGCCUGAGAGGAUGAUCGGCCACACUGGAACUGAGACACGGCCCAGACUCCUACGGGAGGCAGCAGUAGGGAAUCUUCGGCAAUGGACGAAAGGCUGACCGAGCAACGCCGCGUGAGUGAAGAAGGUUUUCGGAUCGUAAAACUCUGUUGUCAGGGAAGCGGUAUCUAACCAAAAAGCCACGGCUAACUACGUGCCAGCAGCCGCGGUAAUUC
rnacentral:rRNA from 1 species